ACCAGGUGUGGUGGCGCACACCUGUAAUCCCAGCGGCUCAGGAGACUGAGGCAGGAUGAUCUCGAGUUCAAAGCCAGACUCAGCAAAAGCGAGGCGCUAAGCAACUCAGUGAGACCCUGUCUCUA
rnacentral:sRNA from 1 species